GUGAGUUUAAUUAUAAGCCGAACAGUUAGUCCCCGUAAAUAAUGUGACGAUGCGUCCCGCGAGUGCUUGUGCAGCGUAUGUUCCCCACGGGACAUUAAUUUUGCCACGAUCGAUAGUUACCCGACAUUUUCGAGUAAUUUUCAAGUCUGGAGAAACCUUCGAGGAAAAUACGAUCCCAGUCGAUCGAUACUCGCUGCAGUAAGAGAAAGAAUAAGAGAAAAAGGAAAGCUUCUCCGAUGGACUAGAGAGUGAAAGGGAUCCACCGAUGGUUUUCGAAUAUCUAUACGACCAUCGAUCGCAUUAACUCGGCGAGCUUUCACGAGGAAGGAAAAUUGGUCCUGUUUCGUUUCAUCGUUAAUGGAUUGUCCUUUGCUAGGAUUUUACAUUGGUUGAAAUAAAGAUGCUUAGUUUUUCGACCCUUGUUAGUCUUUUAACUCUACGGUGAAUGCUUUAUCUUAUAGCGAUGCUUAUCGCUUGCAAUUUUCGCCCCUGUUCUUCUUAUAGCUAAUUAGAUUCAUAAAAAUAGCAAAUAGUAUAAUGGUAAUCAAUAAAUGGUUAAUAGCAAUGUUUUGGUAGGACAAAAAUGCAAAAAAUACUAGUAGCGGAGAAGGCAUAACAAUGGCAGACAUUUUGAUCGUCCAUUGCCAUCGUUCAAUCCCACGAACUGCCCUAGGGGAGUGGACGAGGAUACUCACCCCCAUUUCGAUUACCCUCGAAAAUAUUUCCAGCCAUUUUUCGCCCCACCAACGAGUCUAAGGGUGUGCAAGAGAAAGCGGAGGUAGAAACAAUGGAAAAAGUACCGCCAUCUUUAAUUCCGUCCCCGACCACCUCCACUUCGUAGGCAGCCUACGCUCCCAGUCUUCGAGGCGAAGAAAGAAAAUGCUAAGAUCGAUAAAUUCUUCUUCUUAAGACUGUCUUUUACGUCCAACGGGACGAAGCUAUAUCUCAAGGCUAAUUCUGCGACUGCAGCAAGAGUAUUCCUUACCUAGCUUAGCAGUAAUCUUUUUCAGGACGCGUCCGUAGUUUUUCAAAUAAAUAUACAAUUGAGUAAAUUAGUAUGCGAUUAAUCAGUAUUCCAGAAGCAGAAAGAAUGUAUACAUGAUAGUUUUAGCUUUAUUUUUAGUAAACAGUUGGUCUAUUCCUUAUUUAGCAUUGCAGUAAAUCAUUUAAAACGUGCCUAUAGCUCUUAAGACACAUAUAAUUAUACGCAUUGGUAUUAGGUAAAUUAGAAUUUAAAAGAUGAAAAGAAAGGAAAUAGUUAUUUGAAUGUAACAUAUAAAAAAAUACUUAUAGUUCGCAUAGUUGUGCAAUAAAUGACGAAUGAUAAAUAUAGCUGGACUCGUAAUAAAUAAGCAAAAAUUAACAAAAUAUCCACCCUCGAAGGGAAGUUUCGAACAAAAAAUUAAGAAACACAAAUCGAAUAUAUCGUCGUUUGACAAAGACACGAUUCGGUAUUCUGUAUACGUCAAUCCCUUUAAAUUGGUAGUUACCAGAAGCCAGAAAAGAGGAUCGCAACAGGCACCUUCGUUUCCAACACGACUCGAAUCAAAAAUAUACUUACUUACAAACGAUAAAUCACAACUCUCGGUAUAUGUUCGCAAGAUAAUAAUCUAUAUAUAUAUAUAUAUAUUUGUAAUGCAGGCGAUUAAUACCAAGAAACACAAGUAUUAAAAGUCAAAUCAAAUUAAAUCGAUCUAAUUAUUCCAUGCCUUGAGCGCGGUGUGCGUCGAGUAUUCAUAUGCAGCAUGUUUUCCAUGACGUUCCGAAUAUGGGAACAGUCCUGUCAUCUCUAUCCCUGAUUUCUGAACCUUUUAAAGACCUGCCUUUCCAACGCUAUACCGACCAUAGCUCUAAGCACAGAAUCGAUGACGAAUGGAACAACCGACUGGAAAACCAUCGUCGGCUACAGAUAACUCGCAUUAAAAUAUCUUGCUAUCGGCAGUUCGUUUACUGUGUUUAUUAUUGUGCGAUAUUAAAAUUUGUUUGCGCAGCGAACGAGACUGCAGCUCCUUGCGUAUAAUAUAAUAAAUAGACAAACGUAUAUCAAUUAUGAUAGCACGAAUAAGAAAUAUUUAUGUAGAAUACAUAAGAUUUCUAAUCUGAGUUCU